rnacentral:misc_RNA from 1 species
GGUACAUCUCCUGAAAUUCAUUAUCUUCAGGGAAAUCACUCUGACCGCUCUUUUUCUGCAGCAUGAACUGCUGAACAAGUUCAUGUACUGUGUCAACAUCAUAUGCCAUAGUUUCAUUAGCUGGUGCCCGAAGAAGGAGGUCAGCUACCGAUGCCUCAUCAAGCUGCUGGCUAAUCCUCCUCUUCAGUUCACUUUGUGCUGUCUCUCCACAUUCCAAAGAAACAGAAGUCUGUAACAAUCUGAUCAAGAAACUACAUGAAACACUAUGUUUCUCUGUGGGCAACAGAGAAGUAAUCAUAUCAACCAAGUACUGAUACUUAACAGGAUCACUUCCUGGGAUUUUACCCUUGCUGAAUCCCGGUAGCCUUCUAUAGGCAUAUGCUCUCAAUGCCUCACCAAUUACUUCUGGAGACAUUCCUCCCUUUGUUUUUAUUGUUGUUAUUACCCGUUUAUACAAGUCAAUAUGAAGUUCAGAAAGGUCCUCAACCCACCAGUCUCGUGGAACAUACUGCUGCUUUUGCACACCAUUCCAUAGCGGAUCACUUCCAUUUUCUGAUGGGAGCUUUUUGCGGUUAUAUGUAUACGACCAGUCCACCUUUAAGGUGUCAAUGUAAGCUUUAGAUGCAACAGAAUCCAGACAAUGACUAACGAUCUUUAAUUCCUCAGACCAGGGAAGAAAAGCUUUUGUUGUUUGGAGAACAAUGAUUGAAUCUUUCCAGCUCCGGAAGAUGCUAGAUUUAAGAAAAACCUCAAGCUUGUAGAUAAUGUUACCUU